AGCCCUGAGGAGGUGGAAAGGGAGGGUGGCAGCGGCGCCUGCUCGCCAGCUGAGAGGGUGAGAGAAGCUGCAAAGGAAUUACAAGGAUGUCUCCACCCUGCAUGUUCUGACAUGACAGAUCUUCCCCAGAACUACAACACAGAACAACAGAAGGAGUCAUGCCCAGAGGGCUCCCCACUGAAAUUCCCAGCAGCCUGGGCUGCCUGGCCUCACCUCCCAAGCCCAGGACAUUGCUAAAGAGCAGCCUGUGAGGAGGUUCCCAAAGGAAACUGAGAGGGAGCAUAGCUGAGACAGGUGACCUGAACUGACCAGAGGGAUACUCCACACCACAGGACAUCAUGCCCAGUAUAUAAACUGGGGGGAGUUACCCUGACAGAGCCAAUCUGCCUUCAGGAAGGGGGAUCUGACACAGGCCAGUGGGUGGAUCUUUUGCCCACUGUCCAUCUCCCUGUGUUCAUCAACCACCUCCCUCAAGGAAAGAAGCACAAGUCAUUUAGACCUCAUCACAUCACCCAGAGAAGGUGUCCUUUCCAAGAAAGUACCAGCUAGUCCCGUGAAGUUCCAUGUGGAUAAUGACUGAUACAAAGAACUUGGAGAAAGUCACUCUCUGCUGGGGAACUGGAGUGUUUGGGAAUUGAAACUCCCUUUUUCCUUCAGUGCAGCAUUAGCUGAUAACCUUAUCCUGACAAAGUGAUCUUAAAAAAUCAAUACUGAAUGUCCUUUCCCUCACUGGUCUCUACCACAGCUUCCCUGCACACACCCUCCAGCUCAGGGAACAAGCUGAGCUCUAGUCACAAGCAUCUGCCUGUGUAUGUACUUUUGGGCUUUUUCCUUUAUUAUUUGAGCUUCUCUCCUGUACUGAGUGAUAAUGAACUCCCAUUCAUUGACUGUGUGCCGAUGAGGACAUCUUCACAUCUCUCUGCAAACAGGCAAUUGUGCGCCAUCAGCAUUACAUGUCAUUAUGAUGCAGCUACAGUACUUCAGCGCUUUCCUGUACUUUGAUCAGCAAAGAUUAAUUACCCUCAACUGAAUUAUUAGUGGUGAUUAAACCUAACAGAAAAUAAAUGGGACUGCAAUAUUACUGGGUUAUAAUUUCACCAGUGUGGUCAUUUGCAAGCAAUUUCCUUAUGCACAAUUUUUUUUCUUAAUCAUUAUUCUCUAAGAGUUUUUCUAUCAUGUAUUAAUUAGGAUGAGACAGUCAGUACACAAUACCACAUUGUACAUUACAUGACAUAUGCAAAUCAUACGCAAAGCCCACAUACAGCUCUAUGUACAGAGCUCAAGCUGACUUGGGCAAAACUUUAAUUGAUGUCAGUGGAGGUUUGCUAGUGGUGGAGUGUGAUCUUUGUACAUGCAGCUGUAUGUGAGCUUUGCAUAUGAUUUGCAUAUGUCAUGUCAUCUUGACCCAAGAUUAGAUCAGUUGGUUUACAGGGUCAAGUUCUAUUAAAACUACAACUUAUAGUGAUUUCCUGUGAAUUCUGAAUGUGAUAAAUAUUAAAUGAGGAACUUACUGCAAU